UGUGGUGAAACUGACAGCAAAACCUACUGUGUAAUGGAUGCCUUAAAACAAAACGCUGUAGCGCUCUUGUCAAGUACAAAUUAUUUUCAACGAUUUCACAGGUUUCUUGGCAAACCUGUGGUAUUAGUACCAAUGUUACAACAUUUUGUCGAAUGUUCGUGGAUGGUACUAUUUAUACUAAGCGUCAACUUUCAACAGAAAAUUGUACAGAUGAAGCUAGAGAUCCAUACGUAUGGUACACCAAUGCACAGUUUGAGUUGCACGUACCGAGUUGUUCAUAUAUAAUUGUAAGGUUUUAUUAAGAUUAUUAUAAAUGACGUUCCUUUAACAUUGAAAUAGUCUUAAGUGUAGACUAGCUUAACAUUUUUUUACUGAUACGCCAGCAAGAUUAGCGGAAAACGAUUUUCCAAUGCAGAUUUACCGCACCCUUUUUUGGAAGUCGGUUAAAAAUGUCUGCUUUGGAAGACCGAAUAGUAAUUGUUAGCAUUUGCUGGAUUCGAAGUGGGCUAUACACUAAACUUUAAAUUUUACUGUGUGACUAAAGUGCGGUCGCUGAGCACGCAGAGUUUAGUUCAUUCUGUCUCUCUCUCUCACGAAUGAAUAUUCUGUACCUCAAAGAUGUAAAUUAAUAACUCUACUUUUGAAGUGUAAAAUGAAAAUAGAUUUUGUGAACCAUACCAAAAAGUAAUAAUUAUGCAUUUUGAAAGACUUUAAGUCCUUUGACUUGAGACAUCUACACGAAAAGAAAAGUUUGGAUAAAUUAAUGUUUAGGUACAUAAAUAUUAUAUAAGUACCUACAUCCAAAACUCUGUAAAUAGAGGAUCAUACUUUUGCAUGUCCUAAAAAUUAAAAAUAUAUCUGUGGAACAGAAUUACAUUCUCGUUCCUAUUGUGAUAUCUUUGUACCAAGCACAGCAAUGAGACAGACAUUUUCUAUGUGAUCAGCGACCGCACUUUAGAAAGUUUUUUUGCUAUCUUGUAAAUCCUAAAAUAGUCUAAUUUCUAAACUUCACUUUCAAGAUGUCAAAUACUUUCUGGUCUCUGAUAUUCUUCUUCUAUAACUGUGGCUUUCCAGAAUAAUAUUUUGUUCAACAGGGAAUACAAAACAAAUCUUGUCGUUACGUCACAAAACUUGCAUACCUCUACCUACUCAGUAAAACAAAACUAAGUAUUUUUAAAAUGAGAACAUAAUAUUUUCUAUAAUCAGGCGGGGUAUUUAAAAUUCCCGGACUAUAUAAUUCAAAAAGCUAGCCGCAUGUUUAUUGGUCAACGCUAGACGCAGCGCGAGUUGAUUGGCCGUCACGCAGAGAAGCUGUCGAAUCCGAUUCCGAGUUAAAUCAUGCAUUGUAAAUCAGACUCUUGAAAAUACUCUCCAUCUCUUUCUACGGUGCGUCUCUUUCUAUUAUUCUGGAAAACCACAGUGCAGUCGUUGGCUCGAUGUCUCCGAAGCGCUGUGAGCGCACAACUGUGAUUUGAUGUUGAGGAUAUAGAUGGCGCGAGUGUCGUGAUACAUCUACCCACAAUACCAAGCGAUUAAAUAAAAGAAAAAUAUAAAAGAACAUGAUUUUCUUGUAAGUAUUUAUGUCCAAAAAUGAUGUGGAUACUUAACAUUAAACUAAUUGUUAGUUUAAUGGCAUAUUGUUCAUGAAAAAUAUUUUUACCUCCAAAAACAAGAAGGCCAAGAUCCACUUCGGGUCGCUGAGCCGGCGGAGUUAGUUUUUUUUUUUUAAUGUGGGUAGUUAUAAAACAGCAAAGGUAUUGUGCGUAGAGGUUAUCACAAGUGGCCAAGUCCACGAUUUGUGAUUCGCUCAAUAAGUUGUCAUGUUGUUCAGUGACAUAUUUGUUGUAAAUAUUUAUUUUGUACCCGUGAUCAUUUGUAUUAUUUAUAGGCAUUGGUGCAUAUCAUGUGUAUAGGGCAGAUGAUUAAUCAAAUAAAUUAGAACA